UCCGACACAAGUUUGGCCGGUGAAGCAGCUCUGCUUGCUCUGGCACUUACUUUGACGCCUCCGGUGGCUGUUGGUCCUCUUCUCUGCUCUCUCUCAAGCUCUAUGACACUUGAUACUUGUUGAGCAUUCUUGCUGGACGCACCUUCCGGGACCAUGGUGUCAUCCCACACUAGUUUGGCCGGCGAAGCAGCUCUGCCUGCUCUGUCGCUCACUCCAACGCCUCCCGCGCUGCCCCUCCGGUGGCCGCUUCCUCUUUGGUCCUGGCAUAGAUAGCAGGAGGGAUGUACGACUGUUAGGCCCGAAGAGCAC